AUUUUAUCACUGCACAUUAUACAUUUUAUCACUGCACAUUUUACUUUUAUCACUGCACAAAUUGGUUAUCACUGCACACUAAAAUUAGGUAUGCUUCUCUCACUCUUAAUCUUAUAAUAAGUUAUGAUAAUGGAAUUGAAAACAGUACCACUGAGCUAGAUUUUCUUUCCAGUGAGAAUAAAAAUGAUAUCAUCAUGCAUGUACAUAGGCGUACCGGGCGGGGGGGCGGGGGGGGCGGCCGCCCCCCCAGUUUUUUGGGCAGUCGGGCA